rnacentral:tRNA from 1 species
UUAAAAUAGUUUAAAAAAAAUAUUGAUUUGUGGAAUCAAAGAUUUAGUGUUAUUUUAAUUU